rnacentral:rRNA from 1 species
CCUACGGGAGGCUGCAGUCGAGAAUCAUUCACAAUGGGGGAAACCCUGAUGGUGCGACGCCGCGUGGGGGAAUGAAGGUCUUCGGAUUGUAAACCCCUGUCAUGUGGGAGCAAAUUAAAAAGAUAGUACCACAAGAGGAAGAGACGGCUAACUCUGUGCCAGCAGCCGCGGUAAUACAGAGGUCUCAAGCGUUGUUCGGAAUCACUGGGCGUAAAGCGUGCGUAGGCUGUUUCGUAAGUCGUGUGUGAAAGGCGCGGACUCAACCCGCGGACGGCACAUGAUACUGCGAGACUAGAGUAAUGGAGGGGGAACCGGAAUUCUCGGUGUAGCAGUGAAAUGCGUAGAUAUCGAGAGGAACACUCGUGGCGAAGGCGGGUUCCUGGACAUUAACUGACGCUGAGGCACGAAGGCCAGGGGAGCGAAAGGGAUUAGAUACCCCGGUAGUC